ACAGUCAGAACCACAUCACUGCACGCGAAUUCACUAGAUUUACAUGAGUGCCACCUGUGUUUUAGUCACAGGAAGCACGUCCAUCAUAUAUGCCACAGUCAUUCACUCAUCUUGCUGUUCCAGAUACGUACCUUUCAGCAUCACAUCCAAAUAACCACAGUACUUGUCACAGCUUCCCGCCAUUCGUCCAACAGUCCGACCUGACACAGUGGUCACUGAUCGCACAUACGUCAAGUUGCAAGCACUCACAGGUUGUGAUAGAUGUCUCCAACCGCCGACCCAGUUUGUCUGACUUCUAUGUGUUCCUGAUACUUUCCUUGGCCCGUUCACUUUGGAGGAGAAUAACCUGUCCAGAUCGUCUAACACAACGAGCUGGACCUCGUCCUUGGUUUGGCAUCUCAGUAAAUUCUGUCUGGCCGUGCAUUUCGCAACAAGCUCUGUUCCAUACCAACGGUUGGUCCUCU